rnacentral:rRNA from 1 species
GAUGAACGCUGACAGUAUGCUUAACACAUGCAAGUCAACUGUGGCGGACGGGUGAGUAACGCGUAAAGAACUUGCCUCACAGCUAGGGACAACAUUUGGAAACGAAUGCUAAUACCUGAUACUGGGAGAGGGCUUUGCGUCCCAUUAGCUAGUUGGAGAGGUAACGGCUCACCAAGGCGAUGAUGGGUAGCCGGCCUGAGAGGGUGAUCGGCCACAAGGGGACUGAGACACGGCCCUUAAUCCUACGGGAGGCAGCAAUGGGGAAUAUUGGACGAUGGACCAAAGUCUGAUCCAGCAAUUCUGUGUGAACAAUGAAGUUUUCGGGAUGUAAAGAGCUUUCAGUUGGGGAGCGGUACCAACAGAAGAAGUGACGGCUAAAUACGUGCCAGCAGCCGCGGUAAUAC